UACGUAGGGGGCGAGCGUUGUCCGGAUUUAUUGGGCGUAAAGAGCGUGUAGGCGGCCAGGUAGGUCUGCUGUGAAAACUCGAGGCUUAACCUCGAGCUGUCGGCGGAAACCAUCUGGCUAGAGUCCGGAAGAGGAGAAUGGAAUUCCUGGUGUAGCGGUGAAAUGCGCAGAUAUCAGGAAGAACACCCGUGGCUAAGGCGGCUCUCUAGUACGGUACUGACGCUGAGACGCGAAAGCGUGGGGAGCGAACAGG
rnacentral:rRNA from 1 species